rnacentral:rRNA from 1 species
CCUACGGGGGGCUGCAGUGAGGAAUAUUGGUCAAUGGACGAGAGUCUGAACCAGCCAAGUAGCGUGAAGGAUGACUGCCCUAUGGGUUGUACACUUCUUUUAUAUGGGACUAAAAUGUUCCACGAGUGGGAUAUUGUAUGUACCAUAUGAAUAAGGAUCGGCUAACUCCGUGCCAGCAGCCGCGGUAAUACGGAGGGUCCGAGCGUUAUCCGGAUUUAUUGGGUUUAAGGGGAGCGUCGGUGGAUUGUUAAGUCAGUUGUGAAAGUUUGCGGCUCAACCGUAAAAUUGCAGUUGAAACUGGCAGUCUUGAGUACAGUAGAGGUGGGCGGAAUUCGUGGUGUAGCGGUGAAAUGCUUAGAUAUCACGAAGAACUCCGAUUGCGAAGGCAGCUCACUGGACUGCAACUGACACUGAGGCUCGAAAGUGUGGGUAUCAAACAGGAUUAGAUACCCCUGUAGUC